UGGGGAAUUUUGCACAAUGGGGGAAACCCUGAUGCAGCGACGCCGCGUGAUUUAGAAGGCCUUCGGGUUGUAAAAAUCUUUUUUACGGGAUGAAAAUGACAGUACCAUAAGAAUAAGGUCCGGCUAAAUACGUGCCAGCAGCCGCGGUAAUACGUAUGGACCGAGCGUUGUCCGGAAUCAUUGGGCGUAAAGGGUACGUAGGCGGCCCAGUAAGUUAGAAGUGAAAUAAUAUAGCUCAACUAUAUAAAGCUUUUAAAACUGCUAGGCUUGAGAGAUGGAAGGGAAAGUGGAAUUCCUAGUGUAGCGGUGAAAUGCGCAGAUAUUAGGAAGAAUACCGGUGGCGAAGGCGACUUUCUGGUCAUCAUCUGACGCUGAGGUACGAAAGCGUGGGUAGCAAACAGG
rnacentral:rRNA from 1 species